UGUUCCUACGGGGCGCAGCAGCCGCGGUAAUACGUAGGUGGCGAGCGUUAUCCGGAAUGAUUGGGCGUAAAGGGUGCGUAGGCGGCCUGCUAAGUCUGGAGUGAAAGGUACCGGCUCAACCGGUACAGGCUCUGGAAACUGGCGGGCUAGAGAGCAGGAGAGGGCGGUGGAACUCCAUGUGUAGCGGUAAAAUGCGUAGAUAUAUGGAAGAACACCAGUGGCGAAGGCGGCCGCCUGGCCUGUUACUGACGCUGAGGCACGAAAGCGUGGGGAGCAAAUAGGAUUAGAUACCCCUGUAGUCCAGA
rnacentral:rRNA from 1 species